rnacentral:rRNA from 1 species
AACGAACGCUGGCGGCAGGCCUAACACAUGCAAGUCGAACGUGAAGCCACCUUCGGGUGGUGGAAAGUGGCAGCCGGGUGAGUAACGCGUGGGAACGCGCCUUUCGGUUGGGAAUAACCCAGGGAAACUUGGGUGAAUACCGGAUAAGCCCUUCGGGGGAAAGAUUUAUCACCGAAAGAUCGGCCCGCGGCGGAUUAGCUAGUUGGUAGGGUAAUGGCCUACCAAGGCGACGAUCCGUAGCUGGUCUGAGAGGAUGACCAGCCACACUGGGACUGAGACACGGCCCAGACUCCUACGGGAGGCAGCAGUGGGGAAUAUUGGACAAUGGGCGAAAGCCUGAUCCAGCCAUGCCGCGUGGGUGAAGAAGGCCCUAGGGUUGUAAACCCCUUUCAGCGGGGAAGAUAAUGACGGUACCCGCAGAAGAAGCCCCGGCUAACUCCGUGCCAGCCGCCGCAGUAA